CUCUACUGGUUUACCAGAGAGACUACAAUUGCCUCUUUUACGAACAUUACCUGGACUUGAGAACUGUACAAUGCUCAGGCCAGCCUAUGCGGUAGAGUAUGAUUACUUGCCGGCUUAUCAGUGCUCCAGGUUCCUAAUGACUAAAAAGAUAGAGGGCCUUUUCUUUUCUGGCCAGAUAAAUGGGACAACUGGCUAUGAAGAAGCUGCCCCUAAUGACUAAAAAGAUCGAGGGCCUUUUCUUUUCUGGCCAGAUAAAUGGGACAACAGGCUAUGAAGAAGCUGCUGCCCAGG
rnacentral:lncRNA from 1 species